AUUUGCCCUUUUCAAUUACUGUAAUCAUUUUUGAAUAUUUAUUGCUUUUUUCUCCAUGCGAAAAGACAUAGUUGCCCCUGUGGCUGAUUUACAGUUUGAUACCGUACAAAUCUUUUUUCUUUACAAGCCAUGUCCAACUGAAGCAACUAAUUAACAGGGAACAAAUCAUAUCUACUUUCUUUACAUGGUUGUACCCAACGGAACCAGGUACUCACAAAUCAUAGAUUGAUUCUGUUGCUUGCGUCGUCAUGUUCAUGGCUAGUGGAGAGGCAGAUCCACCGCAUAUAUAUAGAUCUCUCACCUGUGACUGAAGGAGAUUCAGCAAGAGAUGAAGCAUAUAUAUUUUUGUUGGAACUUGAUCUCAGGUAACAACCCAAGAGAAACCAGAAGGUUUUGACCCCAUACCUUUUCACGUAGGAGCCUUGAUCGGAGGCCUCUAAACCAACGGUUUUGGACCCGGUCCCCAGCCCCAGCACUUGAUAUAAAAAGUAGAAAGAUAGCACGUAAGAAAAACUAGCAGAAGGAGUGCCAUCGACCCAACUGCCCGAUCCAAAAGUCGUGCUAAGGGGCUGGAAGACCGAUCUCCACCAUCGGCCACCGCGAGGCUGUGCCGACGGUUUCUACAUCGACCAGCCGCUGCCCAUGCCGGCCACCUCUAGUGCCGGUGGCGUUCUGGACGUCUUCUACGUAUUGCUGGCCACGUUCACGCUGGUGGCCAUGGGCUAUUCGCUUGCGAUCUCUGCUUAUUCUGGUUAGUAUCCGAUUCCCCUUCUAAAGAGGUGUUCUAAUUACGAGAUUGAGUCGAUGUUUAAUGCUAGUCCUAAAGAAUUUGCUAACAUUGGUAUCAUGAGCUAGUUAAUCUCAGUUAGAACCCUAAUCAGGUUUUCAUGAUGUUUUUAAGUUAAUGAUCUUGUGUAAGUCCUGAUGUUCUCUGUUUUAAGAUAAGUGCAUGUUAAAGGUUUAAUUAUCCUAAAUUAGUGACCCUUGUUUAUGGUCAAUUUCUUAAGGUUAAGGUCUAGUUGAUACGGGUUAGGGCUAAAACAUGAUCAUGUACAGUUCUGUUAUGGUUUGUGGAAUACUGCUGAUGUUUUGAGAUUAAGUUAAUGUAAUUAGGAUGUUAAGGCCUGUUUAAGCAAUUAGAAGGAGGUGAAUAGCGAAUUGCAGAAAUCCCAAAUUUUACCCAAUUUUAUGAAACCCAAAUCCCCGAUUUUUCGAAAUUCGAAAGCAAUAAAAUCCCCAGAUUGAAGAUCAAGACUUACCUAUAUAUGUGCGUCGGGCCGCGCAGCCUCCGUGCCAUGGCAAUAGCCGAUGUGCGCAAACUUAACGCCCGCAGCACCACAAUCUCUUGGUCGCUGCCGAACUGAUGGACUAGAAGCACAUGGCCGGAGUGGCAUGUGCGCCGUCGUCACCUCCUCAAAUCACGCGGCACCGGCGUACUUUAUGGCGGCCGGAACGCCGGCGUACAACCACACAUCAUGUUUUCCGGCGCUUCCCAGCCUAAUGGACGACGAGCAAGUGCGGCUUCCAUGCCGCGCUUUACCGCCAUCCCCUUUUUUUUUCAUGGCCAACGGCAAUUCACCUCCACCAGCUCCACAAAAAAGACCACGCGCACGACGCGGAGAGGGCGAGUUCGACGACGCCGCGCGCACCGUCUCGUCGAUGCACGCGCGCGCCGGCGAACAAGCCCACCGCGUCGCCGUGGUGAUGGGCGCGCGUCACAAUCGGCGGCAGCGCCGCCGCUCUCGCUCGCCGCGGGGAAAUCGGGGGAGGAGGGAAUGAAUGGGGAUUAGGGUUAGACGGGCCGACAAUUUUGUUCCGACUGCGCCGAUUCCUGGCCGUUCGAUUUGAUCUGACGGAGGGGAUCAAUGCGGGGAAGUAAAUGGACCACGGGAGCCUAAUGGACCAACUUCUUCUAAGGGCCCCGACUCAAGUUUUGAUUAGGCCUAUGGCUGCUUUUAUUUUAUCUAACGCCCCGCUCGGGCGGAAUUUCCUGAUGGGCCGCAAGCGCUUUUGAGCCGAAUUUAAGUCUUUUUUAAUUAAGUGCUAUUAUAUUUUGUAAUGCUUAAAAUGUUUUUUGCACUGUUUAAAAAGAUUUAAAGUGCCUGAUUUUAUGUUUAACAUGUUUUCUGAAUAAAAUGGAACCAACUAGAAAUUUUAUUCAGAUUCUUUUGACAUGUUUUAUUAAUGUCUUUUUGUGUCAUUUAAUGUGGAAUAUCAUUUUAAAUAUCAACAAAUGCUGAGGAUUAGUAUUGUAAAUUGAUAUUUAAUAUGAGACUGAUGUGGUCCAUUUGUAAGAUGAACUAGUUAGACUUUUUUUUCCAGUGCUAUUUAUGAAGUUUACAAAUUUUCAAAUAAUGUUGUAUGCACUGUUUAUAUCGGGAAAUGUUUGAAUUUGAAGGGGGGGUAUAGUGCUACAAGAUUAAUGUUGAUGCCAUUUUUAUAGCAUUUUAAUGUUGAGUUACGAACAUUAUGAGAUGACCUUGAUUUUGAGCAUGAUUAUGUGUGACUCUUUAAAGUUUGUUUCAAAAAAAAAUUAUAGCAUUUUUUAUGGACAUCUUUUUUCAAAAUUUUAUUUGUAGCAUGAGAUUUAUGUUGUGAUCAUCUCUAAUGGGCUGAGGCCACCCUAAAGAAAAUGUUAAUUACUGGUUGUGUGGUUCGUUUUUCCGCAACGCACUAUGCAGCCUAAUAAUGACGAGACAUGAUGUUAAAGUAUUAUGCCAUGUGCAUUUUUUUGUCCUUUGGCAUGCACUCAUAAAAGGUGAUGAAAACUCAGCGUGAUGAUUCUCUAAAUAAGGAUGUCUAGAUAGUUUUAAUGUGAUAUCAUGGUCAUGUUUUCUCAAUUGUUGACAAUUAAAAGUUCACCAAAUGUUAUUAUUUGGUGAAAACACGGUGCAAUUUCCAAAUUUUGUUUGCAGAAUGUUAUGGUGUCAUUGUCAAUGAGGAUGUCAAUCUGUUGUCUACUCUGUUAAAUGCCAUGAUUAGAAUGUUUAAAAGAAUGAUAGUUUUGUUAUCAUGUAACUGAAGUUUUUAAUCAUAAACUUGACAUAUUUUGUUGAUGUUAUUGAAAUUAUAAUGUCAAGUUUAAUGCAAGAUGACCAGUGAUAAAUUAUAACUUCAUGUGUCUGAUAACACACUGGAUUGCAUCAUUUAUUGGUACUUUAUGUUAAUUAUAUGGCUAUUAAUUUAGCACAUAAGUUCGCUGAUCAUUUUAUGAUUCUAAGUUUCUGGAGUCAAAACAUAAAGCUUUGAUUAGAGAUUUCAUUUAUGAGCAUAUGUUUUAUGGUAUAUGACAGUAUUCCGACCAACGUUGAUUAUUGUCAUGUCCCACUUUUUGGGAUGCGGAGUGUUUUUUUUUCAUUUUUCAACCCAAUGGUGAUACAUAUUAGAACAUGAUUAGCCUCUUUUGAUUGAGAUCAUUCAAGAUUAUGUUUGAUGUUUCAUGAUGAUGCUCAUAAAAAAAAUUGUCCUUGUUUUCAACAAUGGACCAUAAAGUAGAGUUCAUUUAUUUGAAGACUAGGGCUAAUCUUUAAAUUGGAAGGGAAGGACUCUAUUCAUGAUGGAGAUUUUUGACCUUCAUCGUGCACUAUAUGAAGAGGCUCCUAGAGUUUCUAUUGUAAAUUCCGUUGAGGGGGAGGAAUAUUAUGACCUAAAAGCUAUGAAGUGGGAGAAGUCAAAGCGAUGUUCAUUUCUUAUUAUGAAACAUACCACCUCCUUCAUAUGCCAAUUAGUAUUUUGUCUUUAUUGAGGAACAUUUUGAAGAUGUUUUACCCAUUAAAGAUAGGCUUUAAGGAGUUUUGCUACGAGGACAAUAAAGAAUAAAGCAUUUGAAGACAUUUUGUUUAUUCAUAUGAACCUUUUGUUCUUCGUAAUGCAACCUUUCGAUGAUGGUCUUACCAUGUGGUGAGAAUAUUUAUAAAUGUAUUGUUUGUAAUAAAUGUGCCAUGGCACUCUUAUGAUGUAAGUGAAUAAUGAGACCUCGUCGAAAUUGUAGUCAUGCUUACCACAUUUCAAAAGGGGGAAUGGAAUGUCUCAUUGAAUAUGGGAAAUGGUGAAUGUAUUAAAUUCUCCGAGUAGGAUGGAACCAACAAGAAGUCCUAUUUUGGAGAAUGAAUUAUUAUAGUGUUUGAAAGAUCACAUGAAUGUCCUUACUUCCUUUUUAGAAGAAUUACAUGUACUUGCUCCCUUAUAAGAACUAUGAAGCACACAUUAAGAUUUAAAGUGGCAAGCUUGCUAAUCUAAUGAUGAUUAUGAUGUGACUUGUGGUUAUAUUUCUGACCAACGUCGUUUGUAAUCAUGUGUCACACUUCACUCAAGUGGCAAGUUUGUCAGUACCAUGUGGCUCAUGGUUAUUUUUUUGACCAACGUCAUUUUAUAAUCAUGAGUUGCAAAUCAUGAAGUUCUUUUCCAUCUUCUGCCCAACGGUGUUGUGGUUUAGAGCUGAGAUGAUUGCCAUCAAACUUUUGAAUUUAUUUUUCCAUCUUCUAAAGUGAUUUAUCACGGAACCUGGAGCGUAUGGACAUGAAUCUUAAAGAUAACUCCGUUAGAUUUUUGUUCAUAUGCAUCAGGUAAGUUUAGAAGAAAUUUCUAUUGCGGGGCUUAAUGUUGAGCCUUAACAAUUUCUCUAUGCUUGAUAAUGUGUGUGAAUGAUCAUCUUAGUGCCUUGCUUCCAUAUAGGAUGAAAAUUAUGAGCUCUAAUGACCAAUGAAACUCAAUAGAGUUUCCUUAGUGAGUUGUUGUGAUGCUUGUGUUAUUAUUAUAACAUGCUCUUGUGUUACCUUGGUUAAAAUGUAUGUAUGACUCAACCAUAAGAUUUCGUUAUGAAGAUAAAGUUGACAUAAAGCAUGUUGUUCAAAUACAGUUAUGAAAUAAGACGAGCAUUGAGACACUCAUACCAUAAGUUGAGGGGGAGUAAGCUUACUACCUUGUGAAGAUGAAAUAUUCUUGGCGAGCCAAGAAAUAUCUAUCUUCUAUUUAUGAGUACAAGUCUUGGUGAUGCCUCAUACUUUGCUAGUAUUGAGUUUCAUCAAGAUAUUGGUCCAAAAGGAGUAUAAGUCUUAUUAUUAUGACAUACGUCGGUAGAGUACAAAAGAAAAAUAAUUAUGUACUAGUACUCUGUCUCACCUGCUAUUAAAGUUAAGGGCCAUAAAAAAUGGGCAUCUUAGUGUCCAAGGAACCAUUAUGAACUGAUCAGAUAAUGUUGUUUACCUAUGCUUCAGCUGUCAGAAGCAGUACAAGUAUUCAAGUAUGAAUGUGCCCUAUUUAUGAUCGGGGAUACUUGGCAAAUGUACAAGUAAGCCCAGAAAUGGACCACUAGGAAAGCCAACUAAAAGUCUUGCAGUAAAUCAAGGCAUUAAAGUUUACAUGCUCACUGAGUAUCGUAACCUCGAUAUCAUAGGUUACUCAAACAUUGUUUUUGCGAGGUGUGUGGAUAUUAAGUUUCCACGUUAUGUUACACCCCCACCUUCGCGUAUGGAGCUAUAUCGUGGAAAAGCUCCAUAAUGACACCGAUGGCAUCGGUAAUGAUGCAAUUUAUCAUGUGGCAUGCUAAGAGGCUGUUGAGCAGGUUGUAUGUCAAAUAAGUUUUAUUCCCGAAAUGAUGGUGGUAGACAGCAUUUCUAAACCACCUACUGCAAUAUGAACAUGCAAUUUUCUAUGCGAGUAACAACAAGUCAAAUGGCACUGCCAAAACCAUUGACAAUAUGUUUGUGUUGUGAAAGAUAGAGUCCAGGAUCAAGCUAUUGAAGUUGAGCGUAUGAGUACGUCUGAAUGUUUUACGGAUCCGUUUAUCAUAGACUUACCACCCAAUGUAUCAUUAUGUUGCUAGCAUGGGUUGUUGGAAAGUCUUGUUGAUCCUGGAAAUAACGACCGUUGAAUAAUCCAACUCCCAUAAAGUGUUAUGUUUUCCGUUUCAAGAUAGAAUGAUAUACUAUAAGUACUGAGUUUCAGUGUCAUUUGAUAGGUCACUGUGACACCUUACUUUGGUAGGUAUUUCUAUUACGAGCGGGUUUAUGAUGUUUGUUAACCUUACAAUCAAGGGGGAGAAUGUUGGAACUUGAUCUCAGGUAACAACCCAAGAGAAACCAGAAGGUUUUGACCCCAUACCUUUUCACGUAGGAGCCUUGAUCGGAGGCCUCUAAACCAACGGUUUUGGACCCGGUCCCCAGCCCCAGCACUUGAUAUAAAAAGUAGAAAGAUAGCACGUAAGAAAAACUAGCAGAAGGAGUGCCAUCGACCCAACUGCCCGAUCCAAAAGUCGUGCUAAGGGGCUGGAAGACCGAUCUCCACCAUCGGCCACCGCGAGGCUGUGCCGACGGUUUCUACAUCGACCAG
rnacentral:lncRNA from 1 species